GACGAACGCUGGCGGCGUGCUUAACACAUGCAAGUCGAACGGUGAAGCGCCUUCCUUUUUGGUGGGUGUGGAUGAGUGGCGAACGGGUGAGUAACACGUGAGUAACCUGCCCCCUUCUUCUGGAUAACCGCAUGAAAGUGUGGCUAAUACGGGAUAUUCUGGGUCUGUCGCAUGAUGGGUCUGGGAAAGAUAUUGUUUCGGUGGGGGAUGGGCUCGCGGCCUAUCAGCUUGUUGGUGGGGUGAUGGCCUACCAAGGCGGUGACGGGUAGCCGGCCUGAGAGGGUGGACGGACUGACUGGGAGAGAGACACGGCACAGACUCGUACGGGAGGCAGCAGGGGGGAAUAUGGAACAAUGGGCGCAAGCCUGAUGCAGCGACGCCGCGUGAGGGAUGGAGGCCUUCGGGUUGUGAACCUCUUUCGCCAGUGAAGCAUGCCUGCCUCGUUUGUGGGUGGGUUGACGGUAGCUGGAUAAGAAGCGCCGGCUAACUACGUG
rnacentral:rRNA from 1 species